UCCUUUUUUGACCUUCUAUAGUUUUUAUUGCUGUAUUUUCAAAUUUUCUUUUCUUCUGCAAUGACAAAUUUAUUUGGAAUCCUAUCUAAUUUAGUUUUCAUCUAAAAAUACUGUAGCUUUGACCUCUAGAAACUUGAUUUAGGUGUUUUCUUAUCGUUUCUGUAUGCCAUAACUUUCAGAAUAUGUUCAUGUCUGCUAAUUUUUACAUCCGUGUCAGUUCUGAUUUUGCUUCAAAUCAUUGAAUUUUCUCAUCAGUAUGGAUUGUGUAAUCCUGAUAUUUUUCAUGCAUGGUGAUUUUUUAAAUUGAAAGCUAAAUAAUAUAAAUUCUACCUUGUUUGAUGGUGGAUAUAUUUAUAAUGAGUAUUCUUGGCUUUUAUUCUAGAAUGCAUUUCAAUUUCUUAGAAACAAUUUGAUCCUGGGUGGGAGGUGCCUGGCUGGCUCAAUCAGUAUAGCAUAUGAUUCUUGAUCUCAGGGUUUUAAGCCCGAGAUCAUGUUGGGCGUAGAGAUCACUCAGAGACAAGUUGAUAUUUUUUAGGUCUGGCUUUUAAAAUGUGGUAUGUAGGAUCAGGGUAGGGUGCAGUCUAGGCCUCUGUAUCCUCCACUAAUGAAGUAAAACCCUUAAAUACAUUCUAUUUAGCCUUCUAUGAAUCAUGAUUUUUUUGCAUCUGCCUGAUGAAAGCAGAUGUUAUUCCUUGCCCUGCAUUCACUGGUCACUGUUCUUUCUCAUCCCAUCUGGAUGGUUCUUUCUCUAGCCUCAUGAAGUUUUCUCAUAUGAAUGCACUGAUCAGUAUUCAGUUGAGUAUUCAAAAGGACCCUUUAUUAGUCUCUGAAGUUUUCUUUCCAUGCAACUUUCUCCUCUGUACUAUCAGUUUUGUGAACUUGCAUCAUUUUGGUCUCCUCAAACUGUCAAGUCUGCUUCCUCAACUGUAAGAACCAAGCAUACUAAUUCACUUAGAACUGAGAACCUAGGGCAAAUCAGGCCACAUAUGUCACCCUAUCACUAGGCUUUGACUGAGUUCUCCUUCUAUGUGCCACAACCAGAAACUCAAGGUGAUAAGCUAAAAUAACAAAAGUCUCCCUAAAGGCAUGAUACUCCAUCUUAGCCAGAAGCCUAAGACUUACUACCCUUUCUUACAUGGAAAUAUCUCUUCAGGAUUCUACACCACACUGAAUUCUUAAUAAGAACAUAAUAUAUGCUUCCUACAUUUAAUCAAUAAAAUCAUGCCAUGAGUACUAAAGUGGAUAAAUUUGAGAUGUAAGUUAAAUAUUGAAGAUAUGUUUUUUUUAAUUAUAGAGUCUCAAAUAAAUAAGACUUCUUCUAAAGUAUUAAAUAGAGAAAAUGAGGGAAACAUGAAACAUGCUGCAUAAAAAAAAAUACACAGAUCCAUAUAUAGAUCUCUUGGGUGGACUUUCUAAAGAGAAGCAGAGGAAGACCACUGGGUCUUACAUCCCAAAAGGGAUGUAAGUCAGUCUCUGCUAAAACAAACAAACAAAAAAAUCAAAUACAACAACAAACAAGCAAAAACAUAUGGAACAACCAGGAGGAGAAAAAAUAUUUGGUGUCUGGAGAAUAGUAAGUCCUAUAAAACUGCUACAAAGGGUAUAAUAGCAGAUGCAGGAAAGUAUAUCAGAAAGAUAGAUUAAUCCAGACUGUGAAGAUCAUGCUUGCAAUGCAAUGGCAUUUGAAGUUUAUCCUGUAGGUUAGUGGUUCUUAACCCUAUCUGUAUAUCAGAAUCAUCUAUGGAUAUCUUGAGAGAUGCACUUGCCCUAAUAUGACAUUUAGAGUUACUUAUACAGUAGUACUCAGGCACAGUCUUGGCCUCCAGUGUUUUCAAAUCUUAAUAGGUAGGGCUGAUGCACAGCCAGAUUUUUAUGACAGAGUAGUUUUAUAACAACUUUGCAGGUCAAAGUUGCUACAAAAGAAAGAAUACAAUACAUAUGUUCUUUAAUAUUUGUAUUCAUGGCUUUUCUAGCUCUUCAGAGAAUAAUAGCACUGAAUAAAAAAUGUAAAACUUACCCAAUACAAAAAUGAUCUAUAAAAUAUUCCCAAUAGCUAUUUAUCCAAAAAUAUACAUUGAGGGUAUAUAUUCUGGAUACAACACCUACCAUUUGCUUCAUAAUUAUAUGAUAUUAGGCAUGAUUAUUACUUUAUAGUGGCAGACACAAAACAAAGACUCAGGUAAAAGGCAAAUAGAUCUCAUUGUUACUGACCUAUCCAAGCAAGGGAAAGCUAUCAUGGAGGGCCACAUACAUGGUUGCACCUGGUGGGAGGUAACAGCAGGCUGGCACUGCAGAAGGUGGUUUAUGCAUGGCAAGUGAAGUGGAGUUAGGUAUGUUUCGUGGUCUUCAUUUAGAUUCCGUAUUUUAAAUAAUCCUGCCAGCCCAAGGAAAAAGGGGCCUUGCCUUGGUGUUAGGUAACGGAGAGCAUAGUAAUGUGUGUUUUUUAACCAAAGAAUGUUAGAACCUGAUAAUGGAAGUAGUUGGGGGUCAAGGCUUAGAAAAAUGCCCAUGAAGGAGAAUUGAGAAUUUUAGCCAUGAUUUCAAAUCUAGAUCAAGACAGCACUUGUGAAAUAUUCUAUUGUGCUACAUCAUUUAAAAUACAUCUUUAGCAAUUCUUACAUUAAGCCACACAUGUUGCAGCUAUUAUAUCUUGCAGCUGAUUUUUGCCUGUCCAGCAAUUAGAUCCUUCCAUAGUGGAUACACACAUUCACUAUACGAAUCUUAGAGAGAGGCAAGCCUUCCUCCUUUCGCAGAAAGACUACAUAUUCCCUUUUCUUUACCCUCUGGCAGCACAGACAUGGCAUACAGCUGAGACUGAACCAAUCAGAAGUUCUGACCUAGAAAUUUGAACCUGGCCAGAAUGACACAAGUAAGUCCAAGAAGAAAAUAAUUCAAUCAGUGGUAACUACAAACCAGUUUUCAGAACAGGAGGACCAAGAGUGGUGGCAGUACCAGCUAUGGCAAUGACUGCCCAGUGGCACCAGCACCGGAUGGUUCACAUGGCAUGGGCUAAGGCCCAUUCAACCUUGGCUCAUGCCUGGUCUCUUAGUCUGGUUCUCUGAGGUUUCUGUUAAUUCUGUGACUUAUUCAAUACCCUCUGUGAAUUCCUUUUCUACUUGAAUCAACCAGAAUUGAUUUGCAUUGCUUACAAACUAAAAAAAAUCUGACAUAUAAAACUCCAUUAAAUGCAUAAAAAAUUGGAAGCUGGAUGAAUUUAAUUAACUUGUCAUGG
rnacentral:lncRNA from 1 species